rnacentral:rRNA from 1 species
GAUGAACGCUGGCGGCGUGCCUAAUACAUGCAAGUCGAGCGAACAGACGAGGAGCUUGCUCCUCUGACGUUAGCGGCGGACGGGUGAGUAACACGUGGAUAACCUACCUAUAAGCCUGGGAUAACUUCGGGAAACCGGAGCUAAUACCGGAUAAUAUAUUGAACCGCAUGGCUCAAUAGUGAAAGCCGGUUUUGCUGUCACUUAUAGAUGGAUCCGCGCUGCAUUAGCUAGUUGGUAAGGUAACGGCUUACCAAGGCAACGAUGCGUAGCCGACCUGGGAGGGUGAUCGGCCACACUGGAACUGAGACACGGUCCAGACUCCUACGGGAGGCAGCAGUAGGGAAUCUUCCGCAAUGGGCGAAAGCCUGACGGAGCAACGCCGCGUGAGUGAUGAAGGUCUUCGGAUCGUAAAACUCUGUUAUUAGGGAAGAACAAAUGUGUAAGUAACUAUGCACGUCUUGACGGUACCUAAUCAGAAAGCCACGGCUAACUACGUGCCAGCAGCCGCCGUAA